rnacentral:lncRNA from 1 species
GGAGGCGGCGCGGAUGAGAUCGACGGGUCGAUGGUGGGGAUGAUGGGCUCGACGGAGGCGGCCGGGGAGGAAGGGAGCUGCGAUGGCUGCGGUGGCUGCGGUGGCAGCGAUUCGCUGUGAAUCAGGAGGAAGAAGGAGCGGUGGCGACGGUAGAGGCGGUAUCAGCAGUGGAGGGAAGAGAAAGGUUUUAGGAAGGGGGAAAAAAAUGGAAGAGAAGGGUUUUAAGAAGGGGAAGAAAAAAAUGGAUCAGAAUCUAAGUGCUCUGAUACCAUGAUGAUAAAGAGAAGGAGCUAUUUAUUUUUUAUUUUUUCUUCUUACAAUCAAGAGUGCGUAUAAGGAUCUAUAAAUACAAAUAUGUAGACCCAAAUA